rnacentral:tRNA from 1 species
GGGCCCGUGGUCUAGUUGGUUAUGACGUCGCCCUUACACGGCGAAGAUCGCCGGUUCGAAUCCGGCCGAGCCCA